GCCCUCGAGUGCAGUGGUCAGCACGCUUGACAUGUAACCGAGAGGGUCGUGGUUCGAUUCCCGGCGAAGGCG
rnacentral:tRNA from 1 species